rnacentral:tRNA from 1 species
GCCGGAGUGGCGGAACGGCAGACGCGCUACGUUCAGGGCGUAGUGGGCGCACAGCCCGUGGGGGUUCAAAUCCCUCCUCCGGCACCA